AGCUUACCUGCGUAUUAACAUUUAUGUUAUGACUUUAUACGAUUAAAAAUAAGUAGAUAUGUAUAGUAUCUAUCCAGUCGAGUACCCGGUCUCGGAUCAGCGGUUCGGUAGACUGCGAUGAAUGAAACCUCUGCAGUCGCCCGUCUUUGCCGAAACUCCUCCAACCUAAUCGGCAUGAUGCGUCGCUCGUGAAACAACAGGCAAGUUUGGGGUCUCGAUAUGCUGCGAAUGUACGGAUAUCCGAUUCCCAGAUGGAUCAGUUAUUCUGCAUUAUUCAUCAUUUCAAACUUGAAGGCUUGCUCACAACGAUUGGCGCCGGUGGUGGGACCGUCCAAGGGCCAACGUGCGAUUAAGAGUGAAAAUGUCGAUUUUGCCCCGUCAGCCUGGUGUAUCUGUUCCGGCAGCAGGAUAAGGCGCCCUCGCAUAGUUUAUAAGACAGGGACGUCGAAAUAUUGACUUUAAAAUGCGGCCAGUAAUCCAGUAAUGUCACCGAAGAUCAAAAUUUGCAGCCGGAGAGUCGUGUUGAUACCAGAGUGUUCCAACGUCGUUGCUAAGCGGAUUUUGGAUGCGCGUUUUAGGGGAAAGUCCAUUAGAAAAAAUCGAACCUCGCUGGAUGAGCGAAUGUUAUCGAGAAUUCGUGCGACUGCUUCACAAGAGUUUUCCAAUAAGAAUAUACUGUUGCAUCAAGUCGUGUGCUUUGGGUUCUGACUGCACUUGCUGCAUAUGUUGGUAUAAAGGUUUACCAGCGUUAGAGUGUUGUAUCUAUGUUGCGAAACGAGAUAAAAUCUAAAAGUGACUGCCAGCAUAAAUAAUCUCCGAAACAUCCAUUUUUAAUGUUAUUUAAAGUAGAGACACAAGAUACGACUGCACGUAUUUUUGGCCCCGUCUUAUCAGAAUACACGAGAAAAUAUCCCUAAAAACAACCGUACCGACUAGAUCUAACACAGCUUGUUCUGAAAUUGGACUAUACAACAUAUCUGAGUGAGUUACUGUCACAUGCCUGACCACGUAUAACUUGACUUUGGUAGAUCAUUGUAUAAGGGUCAGUUAUUGAUGUUCAAACUGAUUGGCAUACUCCGCCCCAGGGAGUCUCGUGUUAUAUUGCUUAUUUCCAAAUGAACAAGCAAUUAGGUUUUACCAAAGGGUCUAUAAUGAGUUUGAAGCAAAGGUUUUGGGUUCUAUAUAUGGUAUACUGCCGUUUUUAUACGCUUUUACCCCCCCCCCCCCCCC